rnacentral:rRNA from 1 species
AGAGUUUGAUCCUGGCUCAGGAUGAACGCUGGCGGCGUGCUUAACACAUGCAAGUCGAACGAUGAUCCCAGCUUGCUGGGGGAUUAGUGGCGAACGGGUGAGUAACACGUGAGUAACCUGCCCUUAACUCUGGGAUAAGCCUGGGAAACUGGGUCUAAUACCGGAUAUGACUCCUCAUCGCAUGGUGGGGGGUGGAAAGCUUUAUUGUGGUUUUGGAUGGACUCGCGGCCUAUCAGCUUGUUGGUGAGGUAAUGGCUCACCAAGGCGACGACGGGUAGCCGGCCUGAGAGGGUGACCGGCCACACUGGGACUGAGACACGGCCCAGACUCCUACGGGAGGCAGCAGUGGGGAAUAUUGCACAAUGGGCGAAAGCCUGAUGCAGCGACGCCGCGUGAGGGAUGACGGCCUUCGGGUUGUAAACCUCUUUCAGUAGGGAAGAAGCGAAAGUGACGGUACCUGCAGAAGAAGCGCCGGCUAACUACGUGCCAGCAGCCGCGGUAAUACGUAGGGCGCAAGCGUUAUCCGGAAUUAUUGGGCGUAAAGAGCUCGUAGGCGGUUUGUCGCGUCUGCCGUGAAAGUCCGGGGCUCAACUCCGGAUCUGCGGUGGGUACGGGCAGACUAGAGUGAUGUAGGGGGAGACUGGAAUUCCUGGUGUAGCGGUGAAAUGCGCAGAUAUCAGGAGGAACACCGAUGGCGAAGGCAGGUCUCUGGGCAUUAACUGACGCUGAGGAGCGAAAGCAUGGGGAGCGAACAGGAUUAGAUACCCUGGUAGUCCAUGCCGUAAACGUUGGGCACUAGG